GUAUCUCCUCUUCUUAAAUUGUCCAUUUUUGUGGACAAUCUAAGCGUCAAUUAGAGAGACAUUAUUAUACUACUAAUUUCCUACGGUAGUACCUCCGCACGUACACGAAAAUGUUUCCAUCGUGAGGCACGGCGCAAAGUCUACGAUAAAUAGUGUAAAUAAACGUUAAAGGUCGGAUGUGAGAGUAUAUAUUACACAUGAAUGCGACACACAUCGUCCUGAUAAUGCAUAAACCCUCGCGACGUCCCGGACUUCGCGUGAAAUAUUUAUACACCGUGCUACUUUGAAACACGACUUCCUCGAACUUCCCACGGAAUUCUUCAUUACGGUGUUUCAUCAUUCAGGCAGCGCCGCUGAGCCUGUUCGGCGCCGGCUCUUGUCCACCUUAGGAUCAGACGGAAUGGAAUAAUAUCGUCGGUAAUUCUCUUCUCAGAGAGACACGGUCUGGAAGAGCGACAAAAGCGGUCACAGUGUGCCAUCGCCGAUCUCGCACAGCGUAAUUGUGGAACUUUAACUGUUCUUGCGCUUCGACGUCGCGAGAUCAGGAUUCUGAUACAGUCUCCAACUAAACGGCAAAACAGAAUGAACUCCGAGUUCGACUCAAGGCUUUGCAGAAUCCUCUGAAAACUUUCCACCAAGAAUCGUGUUCGGUAGUUGGCUAAACAGCGCUCCGCGAUGAUACAAAACAGGAGCCGUAGUAAUUAAAGGAGAACAAGAACGUGUCGCUGGAAAUACAACCGGAGAACAGUUCGGAACAGUGCGCCGCUCAUGAACGACCGACUAAAUGAAAGUGCGUCGCCAUUAUCCGUUCCCGUUCGUAGAAAAUGGACGGCGACGUCUGGUUUCGCGUGAAAGCGUUGCGCGCGAUAUCAAAGCGCUGAUGCCGUAAAACGCGGCAUCCGUCUUCCUGACGGCAUAUUUUAAUAUACACGGAAAUUUCGGUAUUCCAUUUUGACAAAUUCGCGGGCCCGGUCCGUCCCAGCCCGACCUGGACCGUCGCUGUUCAAAGGAAACUCGACGCGCUAUAGGGAGACACGAGUUGCACGCGAUGCACCUGGUUAUUUUAUGUUUACAGAUGACUCGGCUGCCCGUAAUAAAUAUCGCCGUCCCGGCAACAAAUCUUCCGCGCCCCGCGUUCGUUCCGGUUACCUUUUUUCGGGCCGGGGACGUUUCCGCCUAUUGCUCUCGACAGCACGGUCACCGACGGGCCGCCGUCUAAUCUGGAAAAUUUUAAUAAUUCGCGGCGCACUGGCUUGUCCGGGGCCGGCUGAAUUAUUUAGGGACGCGUGCGGUAUUCGUUAGAGCGGAUGAAAAAUUAAGCGGAUAAGAGAAAAUGAAACCGCAAGGACGAUCUUACAAAUGGCUAGCUUUUCUUUUGGGAAUACGCGCUGGGAACAUGAAGAUCUUCCACGUCUUUUCGCUCAGUGAAAAGUCUUCGCGAUGUUCACUGUUGCCGAAGAUGUUCUUCUUGCUGAAUUAAACUUUGUUACCGUUUGUUGCGAGAAGGGAUCAUAAUCAAUGCUUUUUGUGCGAUGGUUGUCGUUCGGCGAGCUUUCGGAAACUUUACUUUGCCGAUGUUGAUGUACAAGAGGUUCAUAUCGGUCACUUCUUAAAUGUUCGUUCUUCUUCGCUAAGUAUUAUUAUGGGAGAUGGUUUCGAAGGCUAGUCUAGAGAAGACAUUUUUGGAAACUUUACUUUGCAGUUAGAUACAGUAAGUGGGGCUCGUAGAGAUAAUGAAGGAGAAUUAUGUAGUACGUUUAAUUCUGUGGUAUAAUAAUCGAUCAUUUCCUCCGGGCUCACGGAUUGAUCCCCUUGCUCGACGUUAUUUGGAUGAGCAUGUUUACUGUUAUGUACACAAUACGAGAACGAUCCUCUAAUAGUUCGCGGUUUAGUUCUGCAGUAUUGACUAGGCUGCUGGUAGAAUCCAGCACAAAAGCCUCGAGGAUUGUUCUAAUUACUCAAUAUAAUAAGAUAAAACGUGUAUUUUCUAACUGGACUUAUUACUUGUGGGAUUUUGUGACUUAUUUCAUUGAGAUCGGUUGACAUUGUUACGAGUUGCAAACGAUUAAAGAUCGUGAAAAUCGUAUUAUUUUAAGUAUUUCAACCAAAAACAGAGCAUUUUUACGUCUUUCAGUGGCUGUGGCUUGAUCUUGCGUCAUCUUAUCUGAACGAAAUUUUCAGUAUUCAUACAAGUUAUUGAGAUUUAUAAAACGCAUUUUUCGUUCCAGGUUCAGAUAGAAAGUUGAAAAACGAGAGUUUUUAUCUCUUUAGUCAUCCCAGAUAAUAGCGAAAUGGAAGAAAGAUAUCUUACUCAUUGUAUCGUAAUCCGUUCAACAUUUAAAAAGAAUGAAGUCAUUUGGUCCAACUUGAAAAAAGUUAUUGCUGUUUAGAUGGUGUCCGAAUACGUUUCGACAGGGGUUGUAGUACCAUCACGGGUCUAGACUCGUUGUUACAGAUCAAGGGCUCAAAGACUCUCUAAACUGGCUUCCGAUAGGACAAGUAACAACUUCUGCGAAAGCCUGUCCGAUCGACCGAAUAACUAAUACCAAGCCAAUUCGUAUCUCUUGCCCAGCGUUCGCAGGCCGAAAGAACCAGCAAUUUCCUCGCAGCCAAAUGUGCGAAAGGCGAGUCGCCUAGGAGAACUCUUCUAAUUCGACCACGCGGCCUCGCUUUCCCAUUCCAUCAGCGUCGACGCUUCUUCAUCGGUGAAAAGACGCGCUUUCGCUCUGUUGAAAGCGUAUCAAUAACCCUCGGCAGCGGCAGCUCGCAGCUCCGUCGAGCGGAAACGUAACGCGCGCUCGAAAGGGAAACGUCGCGGACAAAGACCGCGGCGUGUACGCGCAUUACCAUUGAUGCGCAUUGAUGCAUCGAGCAUCAACAGGCGUAUCGAUGCACCUUUUCCUUUUCCCCAUUCGCGUGUCUGGAGCCGCUCCUCUUUUUCUCUCCCUUCGUUUUUUCACCGGGAACACGCGCAGACACACAUGGAACACGGGUCCUACUCGUAUCGAGAGAGAAUGAGAUACACAAGGAGAGUGAGAGAGAGAGAGAGAGAGAGAGAGAGAGAGAGAGAGAGAGAGAGAGUAGCAAGCCCCGCAGGUUGCAGUUAAUCCUGGAUAAAGGUGGUACAUAGAUACGCGCCGGCACGAUGCCCGGCCGCUGAAGAUGCGUCUGAUGCAUAGACGCAUAUCCCCGGAUUUAUAGACUUACACGAGCCCGAACCGGAGGAUCCAUCUCGUUCGUCCGAUCGAGAACCUGGCCGCAGGCGUCGUAUCCGCGGCUAACGGGAUACCUUCGCUCCGAUCCGGACGCAUUACAUUAAUUAAAUUCUCAUUCGAUCGAGCAUUGUACGGCCAGGUGAGCCGGCGAGCCCACGCGUUGCACAACGCUGCACCACGUUGCUGACCGUUGCGGGAGGAGGACGGGGGGGGAGGGCGUUGCAGUGUGUUGCAACUCGGCUUUGAAUUUUCAUUGUUCCAUUCGCGCGGACUCUGCGGUCGCUCCGAAACCCAUUAUGGAUAUUAAUAAAGCGAUACUCUGUUUCUGAAUCCUCUUCGUUUGUUACAUUUCGCUUGCCGCGUUCGGUCGCGGGAUUAAGCACCUAUCGUGGAAAAAGGGCUCUACUGUAGCAGGUGAGACUGCGACGCCAAGUGGAUUGCAUGGAUUGUCCGAUAACAUGAUUUUUUUUAAAUGUAAAUGAAAUGUAUGGAACGCGGGGAGAGCUUGCACGGUCUUGUCACAAUUUGAGUGGGAAAGAUUGCGAUUCGGAAUAAAAAGAUAAUGCUGUUACCAAAGGUUGGUAGACUGAUAGGAUAUUGUAUCGAAUUGUGGCGAAUAAUUUGAAUAAAAAAAUUUAACGAUAA